UGGCUGAAUAAGGAAACAACCAACAGCCGAAGCUCGAGGGCCUCUCGGCCGGGUCUCUGGGUCCUCUCAGCGGCCGCAGCAGCAGAGACCCGCUCAGAGGGACAGGAGACCCGGAGGAGAGAACCGGGGCCGGUACCGAGCCUUUAGACGCAACUUACUGUCUCCGGUGAUCCGCCAGUCUGCUGACAGCUCCACAACACGGAAAUAAUGAAGCACGGACACACUGCGCAUGCUCCCAGGGGAGAGCCAGGACAUCAGCAGCCGGACAGAUCGGAGGAUGUUGACCUCUGACCCCAGACGCGUUGCCAUGGAAACCUACUGGAGAGAAGUGCGGAGCAUUGAGGAGGAGGAGGAGGGUGAGGAAGAGGAGGAGGAAGAGGAGGAGAAGAAGAGUA